AAAAGGAGACUCUGGGCCAAUUAUACACACAGCUUCAAGUGACUCAAACAUUGGUAUGGUGGUCAUGCAACCAUAAUCAUGUAAGUUCCACAAAUUUAGAACCUGACAUUAGUCUUAGUGUCAGAAAGUGUUUUAACAGCACUCAAGGUGUCAUCAUAAAGAAGAAUCGGAAGAAAAAAUAAAAGCACUUUCAAGCUGAUGACUUUAAACAAAAGCAUUUGGAUUAGUAAUAUGCAUGAUAGAAGUCUCCUCUAGCAUGUAAUAUAGGACAUCAAACAACUCAAUGGCAAGAUAUUCUUUAAUAUUUUCUUGUUUUAGCAAAUAGAUAAGAUUUCUGACCCAGCAUGACAAGGUUAAAAACUUGCCAGGUACUCAACAAGGCCAAGAUAUAAAAAAAAAAUUACAGCCGUGCAAGAAUAGGGAGCAUUGAGUACACAACUCAAUCUGGAUCAAAUUUUAUGAAGCAAACCUUCACAAGUACACUCCCAACCAAAAAGGAAGCAGCA
rnacentral:lncRNA from 1 species